ensembl:lncRNA
AUGAGGAAAUGCACCACGGAAGCCAGGUGUCAGAGUUCUGGUUUCCCAGCAACCGUGGCUCUGCGUGGCUGUCCGAACAUUCACGCUCAAGGUCUCAGCCUCCAUGAUCAAAUCACCGGGAGCAAACCCUGUGCCAAGAGGCAAAGCCUGCAGCGCCUGAUCUCUGCUCGCGAGCGCGUGUGGUCCUGGGGCCCCGGCUUCCAGCACCCCUGCUUCCCGGAAGAAGAAAGACUUCAGCACCAGCUUCCCAGAGCGGGCAUUCCUCUCGCGUUCAGUUUCUCAUCACGCAGCUAACUUCCCAGCAACCUCAGCAGGGUCCCAGCCUUCCUUAUUUCCUGUUUGGGACUUCAGUCCCUUAUCUAAGAUGGAGGGAAGCCUAGAUUUACCUCAGGGCAAGAAGCAGACAAAGGGUGUGGAUCGCAGGUGGCCACACAGCCUUUCUUUUCUUUUUCUUUUUUUUCUAAGAUAUAUUUUUAAUUAAUUUAUACACAGAAGAUUAACUCUAUAAUAAGUAUGAAAAAAACCUGUUGCUCAACAAUUUCUUGGUUUCUCUUCUGAUUUCUGCUGUGACGCACGGUUCAUUCAGGAGCACGCGGCUCUGUCUCCAUGUGUGCGUAUGAUCGAGAGAUUCUUGAGUUCUUCAUCUCCAGCUUCAUCCCAUUGUCACACAGCGUUCCUAAAGGCAGAGAUCCACGCAUGCCUAGGAGGUAGACUAGGGCAAGAAAUUAAAAAAUGAAUUGAAACUACUGGGGUUUUACCAUGUGCACUUAAAUUUAGGCAAUUCACAGCAAUCUACUUCGACUGCAAAUGAUUGAUUCUUUUCUGUAAACCUGGGCUACUUCACUAAUACCUCCUUUAUGACACUGAUUACAUUGCAUUUUGCUGGCUCUCACCCCUCCCCGUCUGUGAAUAUUCUAAAUGAAAAUGUGGAUCUGGCUGGGGUUUGCAUCUGCCCUAGUGUCUGAAAACGCCUUGCAUAUCCCAUAAUAUGUGCACUGGCAGUGAUAAAGUUGUCACAUCAAGAUGCUCUCUUCAUUACACAGUUUGCGAGCAUUCUAAGCUGCAACAAUUUAUUUCAAAAUAUGUUUGAGUUGUCUUUAUGUACUAUGAUACAGCAGAGAAAAAUGAUACUUGGAAUUAGAUGACAAUUUUAUUUCUGUGCGCUGUCCUUAUUAAAUGCAUGCGUUAUAUGCCUAUAGGCUGAAGCUGUCAUGCAUGCAUUAGCAUUUUAUAUAGCCUUCACCUUGUACCAAGUACCAACUUGAUUCCUAGGUUGGAGCCUCAGAGAAUGAGGAAGCGGACACAGUCCCAGUGUCACAGACUCCAGGCUGCUGGAGGAGGCACAAAGGCAUCCCAUGGUCUCAUUCAGCAGGAGGGUAUGUGAGAGACAGAUACCUCUGGCUGGGUAGUGAACUCCCUGAUGACAGCACAGCCAAACCCCAAGCCGGAUGGGGCGUGGGAGUUAACCAGAGGAAAGGCUGGGUGUGGGGAGAAGGCUUCCUGACAGAGCUGGGCACAGCGUGGUAUUUUAGGGACAAUAUCGGGUCUCAGGACACCACCACUCCUGUAGAUCACAAUUUCAACUAUGCUCUUAUGCAAAUGAGAUAUUCAAAUACGCUCACGUGCGCUUACUCAAGUACGCCGUUCUGCUCUUUGGUUCAAUCUCAUAAUAAAAUCUGAAAUCGAGUUGGCA